rnacentral:tRNA from 2 species
GCAGUCGUGGCCGAGUGGUUAAGGCGGGGGACUAGAAAAGCUUUGGGGUCUCCCCGCACAGGAUCGAAUCCUGUCGACUGCG